AUGGGGACGAGGUCGGGUGAAGAUUCGACGGCCACACGGUGGGAAAGCAAUGGCGGCGGCUUCACCGAUCUGCGGGAUGGCAAACAGUUUUUUGUGGAUCACCCUGGAGCAGUUCCUAUUUCCACCGCUCAGGAUGAAGAGCUGAAGAAGGUAAUUGGCAGGAUGACCUACGUAGAGUGCAGCUCAAAAACACAGCAGAAUAUCAAGGCGAUGUUUGAUGCAGCGAUUAAGGUGGUUCCAGCCAUUGAAGCAGAAGCAGAAGAAGUGGAAGGCGCAGAAAGUAUGCACGGACAGACCAAUGGUGGAGGCUCGAGGGACGGAGUGCCGCCGCCGCCGCCAUCCUCACCCCUGAGCCCAAACUUCCAAUUUGAUAGAUGGGAGGGUCUGCAGAAGAAGAGCCUGGAAGAGAGCAUUCAAGCAAGGUUCCCCCAACGUGAAUUCUCUUGUAGGAUUGGGUCUGCAGCUGCAUUGCUAUUAGUGCAAUUUUCUUGUAUGAAGGUUUCCUUGCUGAACCCUGAAUUGGCAUGGAAUUCAACCUUCUUCAAAGAACCGGUCAUGCUUCCUGAAUUUGUAAUUCUGGGCGGAUCUCCCGAGGAAAGUGCUCGGCUUAAGGCAUCUAGCAAUAUGAAUGAGCUCAUUUCACUCUUAUCUCCUCAGUCGAGGCUAGUCGUUACAUCAUCCGGCGAUGAUCUUCCUUCAGAUGGCACUUUGAAUUCGGAUGCAAUAACAGUUCAAGUUCUUGUCAAUGAUGUCCAUGUUGGAGACUCAGUAUUGGUUAUUGAGUCAUUAGAAAGGAUAGUUGAUGAUUCUGACUUUGAACAUGGUACCCAUCAUCAUAUUGAAGUAUGUUGGUGGUUGGUACCAAUCAUUUUUUGUGAUAGAAGCUUGGCAUGCGUUUUGUCAACUGUUGAAGAAGAGAAGAUUGUCCUAGGCGACUGCAAGUUUUUCAAAUCUACCUUCUACUAG
rnacentral:rRNA from 1 species